rnacentral:rRNA from 1 species
UACGUAGGUGACAAGCGUUGUCCGGAUUUACUGGGCGUAAAGAGCGCGCAGGCGGUCGAUCAAGUCGAGUGUGAAAGCCCCCGGCUCAACUGGGGAGGGUCAUUCGAUACUGAUCGACUCGAAGGCAGGAGAGGGUAGUGGAAUUCCCGGUGUAGUGGUGAAAUGCGUAGAUAUCCGGAGGAACACCAAUUGCGAAGGCAGCUCGCUGGGACGUCACUGACGCUGAGACGCGAAAGCGUGGGGAGCAAACAGG